AGCUUUCCAAAGUGUUCCUCUUGACAUGCACACUUUCAAUCUCCCCCUUUUUGAUGAUGACAAACACUACAUCAACUUCAUCAAUUGUAAUAACAAUUGUUUGAUGAAUAAGCUUGAAGAUUGUGUUGGCAUGAUUGAUAUGAUGCGCAAAUAUAUCGGAAGCUGUUAUUACGAUCAACCUGCACAAUCAAAAACAACAAAACAACCUUUCUCCCCCUUUUGACAUUAUCAAAAAGAUAACCCAG
rnacentral:lncRNA from 1 species